UACGGGGGGGGCAAGCGUUGUUCGGAAUUACUGGGCGUAAAGGGCGCGUAGGCGGCCUUCUAAGUCGGACGUGAAAUCCCUCGGCUUAACCGAGGAACUGCGUCCGAUACUGAAAGGCUUGAAUCCGGGAGAGGGAUGUGGAAUUCCAGGUGUAGCGGUGAAAUGCGUAGAUAUCAGGAGGAACACCUAUAGCGAAGGCAGCUUGCUGGGACGUUACUGACGCUAAGGCGCGAAAGCGUGGGGAGCGAACAGG
rnacentral:rRNA from 1 species